UGCACCCCUCAAUUCUUCAACCGAGAACAUUUCAAUAUGAAGAAAUCUAGGUGCAUUAUAUGUAUUGGAGUGUGUCUAACUAGGCUACAGGCCAGUUUCAUGUUCAAACUUUAGUACGUGUUCUACUCAGUCCUUGAUAUUGGAAAUUUUCCCAAUAUAUCCUUGGAAUCGUUGGUGAUGCUCUUGCUGAAUAUAUUUGAGAAUAGGGCAAGGACUUGUUGAAAGAUUAUCAUAUCACUCUUGCACCAUAGCCAUUGAGUGGGAUCUGUUUCAUGAAUAAGCUGAUGGUGAAUCAAGGGCUUCCAUUGACAUUAUUUACUGCUGUUCUAAUUCAGCUGGUAAGCAUUUUGCUAACUUGUUAAAAUAGUAGGAGAGGACCUUCACCAUUACAUCAAUACUGGUCCAAUAUUUUGUCUUGUUGCUCUUAUCUA
rnacentral:lncRNA from 1 species